AGCCGUCUGAGGCCCGUCGGAAUCAGUCGAAUCGACGCGUGAAAGCGAGUCCGACGCGAAUAAGGAACGAAAGUCCCAUCGGCUCGUAGAAUCCUAGUAGCGCUCGUUUGAUGCAUUUCCGACGGGUAAGCGCCGUGACCGAUGCGAAUUCGCGGCUAGCGAAGCCGUCGGAUUGAGGUCGAGCUCGUUCGCGUGUCUCGUAACCAGUCCGUCGGUGGGAAUAGAAAUCGUUAGACCGUAGCAUCGAGAAUUAUAAUUCGAGCGUCGGCGAAUCUUACGCGCUCGCCUAAUACGAUGGACGUGCGUUCGAUCGAUCGUCACCUGCUCGCAGGUGUCGGUUCGUAUCCCGGGCGUAUCCGAAAUCGUAGGCGACGUUAUACGACGUUCGGGUGUCCACGGCGUCCGAGUCGGUCGCCCGUCCGACCCGUCUUGAAACACGGACCAAGGAGUCUAACGUAAGCGCGAGCUAAUGGGCGGAAAACCCAUAAGCGUAAUAAAAGUAAUAGUCGUCUCCGACGGCUUAUGUACGAUCCCGCAGGGCGAAUAAUCCUCGGGCGCA
rnacentral:rRNA from 1 species